AUUGAACGCUGGCGGCAGGCCUAACACAUGCAAGUCGAACGAGUGGCGGACGGGUGAGUAAUGUCUGGGAAACUGCCUGCUGGAGGGGGAUAACUACUGGAAACGGUAGCUCAUACCGCAUACCAUCAGAUGUGCCCAGAUUGGAUUAGAUAGUAGGUGGGGUAAAGGCUCACCUAGGCGACGAUCCCUAGCUGGUCUGAGAGGAUGAACAGCAACACGGUAACUGAGACACGGUCCAGAAUCAUACGGGAGGCAUCAGUGGGGAAUAUUGCACAAUGGGCGCAAGCCUGAUGCAGCCAUGCCGCGUGUAUGAAGAAGGCCUUCGGGUUGUAAAGUACUUUCAGCGGGGAGGCGUUACCCGCAGAAGAAGCACAGGCUAACUCCGUGCCAGCCGCCGCGGUAAUAC
rnacentral:rRNA from 1 species